rnacentral:rRNA from 1 species
CAUGGCUCAGGACGAACGCUGGCGGCGCGCCUAACACAUGCAAGUCGAACGGAGAUUACAGGCGGAAGUUUUCGGAUGGAAGCUUGUAAACUUAGUGGCGGACGGGUGAGUAACACGUGAGCAACCUGCCUAUCAGAGGGGGAUAACGAUUGGAAACGAUCGCUAAUACCGCAUGACAUAGCGGAACCGCAUGGUUCUGCUAUCAAAGAUUUUAUCGCUGAUAGAUGGGCUCGCGUCCGAUUAGAUAGUUGGUGGGGUAACGGCCUACCAAGUCGACGAUCGGUAGCCGGACUGAGAGGUCGAACGGCCACAUUGGGACUGAGACACGGCCCAGACUCCUACGGGAGGCAGCAGUGGGGGAUAUUGCACAAUGGGGGAAACCCUGAUGCAGCGACGCCGCGUGAGGGAAGACGGUCCUCUGGAUUGUAAACCUCUGUCUUCGGGGACGAAAGUAGACGGUACCCGAGGAGGAAGCCACGGCUAACUACGUGCCAGCAGCCGCGGUAAUACGUAGGUGGCAAGCGUUGUCCGGAAUUACUGGGUGUAAAGGGAGCGUAGGCGGGCAGGCAAGUCAGGCGUGAAAUAUAUCGGCUCAACCGGUAACGGCGCUUGAAACUGCAGGUCUUGAGUGAAGUAGAGGUUGGCGGAAUUCCUAGUGUAGCGGUGAAAUGCGUAGAUAUUAGGAGGAACACCAGUGGCGAAGGCGGCCAACUGGGCUUUUACUGACGCUGAGGCUCGAAAGUGUGGGGAGCAAACAGGAUUAGAUACCCUGGUAGUCCACACCGUAAACGAUGAUUACUAGGUGUGGGGGGACUGACCCCUUCCGUGCCGGAGUUAACACAAUAAGUAAUCCACCUGGGGAGUACGGCCGCAAGGUUGCAACUCAAAGGAAUUGACGG